AAGCUGCCCUGCAGUGAAAGUAAACUCACUUAUUUUUAGCCUUCUUUUCAUUCAGGAAUACUGGCAAGGCCCCACUGUUUGUCAUUUCCCCAGUUUGCACCCUCUAAACGAGGGAAUCGGGCCCCUGUGGUAAAUAUUAGGUGUAUCCUGGUGGUAAUCAUCUCAAAAGGUCCUCCAUGUGAACAAGAGGGGCUCUUCUCCACGGUGGAUGGGAGGGCUACCUCCAUGGGAAGCCAUUAUAGGAAGGGAGAGGUGGUCUAGGGCUCCAGCAGCGCUGCUUCUUUGCCCCUGUGCCCAGCUGCCCCCAUCUGCAGCCCGGGGAGUACCAGUGUUGAUCUAUUCAGAGCCAUGCAGAAGGUGACAUUGAGUUUUAAAAUUUUCUCUUUCCUCUUAGGAUUCACAGCUCAGACAAAAGGAAUUGUGUGAAGUUACUCACACAUGACUUUGCAUGAGUCAAGCAACUUGGGGAGAAAAAAAACCAAAAUCCAUGAUAAGCAUUCAUAAUCUUUUAAAAGUAUUACACCCACUUGUAGCUGCACAAAGAUAGACUGAAGCAGUCUUUCAUAUUCCCUAUGAUUGUAUGACCAUCAAAGCUUAGCAAGAAAGCAGAGAGGGAAAGUGAGGGGGUGUUUGCCUGCAGACAGCAAAAAUAGAAUGACGUUUUUGCAAACUACUUUUCCAAUCUUCCAAGAGUGAUUUCUAUACAAUGUAUGAUACAGGAAAGAAAUCUGCCAGUCCAUAGACUCCUCAGAUUAUGAUCCAACAGUCUUAAUUUUUCUCCAACAGAUGAUGAUGGACAACGCAUAAUUCACCACAUAGGUCACCUUAUUUUUAGAUGUUGACUCUAUGGCUGCACAGCCUUUGUGCUCCUCAGCAUUGGUUCAGGGGGCAGGAAUAAGAUAAACUAAGCAUCUGUAUAAAAGAAUCAGCUUACUAACAGAAACACUGCAACAGAUACAUGCAUUGGAGAUCUAACCUCGCUUUCUAAUAAGCAGGGUAAAAAUAUGAUAAUAGUCCUUAAUCUAAGUUUCUUUUAAGAAUCUCUAAGGGCCAGUGACAAUGUUGUGAUUAUUAAAAAUUAUUCCAAGCCCGUGUUACCUGAGUACUUCAGUCAAAGGUAUUUAGAGAUUAGUGUGAGCAAAUUUUGGAAUGGAAACCUUGGACAGAAUCUGAAUAGGAAUCUCUUUCUGCUUCCAGAGUGGUUGGCUGACUUACUCGGAGGACGUCUUUUGGGGUAAGAUAUGAAUGGACUUAAAGAAGUCAAAUACCAUCUACCAAUAGUGAGGAAUAAAUUGUGUUCAAAUGGCAGGACUGAUUAAAAACCACAUUCCCCUUUUCUCAAUGUCAAAGCUGCAUACGUAUACCAGUGGGUGCCAGAGAAGAUACUGCAGCACUGACUUAGUAACAAGGGGGACUACAUUGGAAUCAGCAUCAAAAAUCAACUCAGCUCUUUCAAUUCGCUGAAAACAUGGAAGAAAGUCAAAACUGAGCAAGAUCUUCAAAAGUGUUUUUGCUGUCUGUCAGGAUACAAAAAGAUUUAGUCUGCCUUUUCACAUGUUUUCUCUACCUUAUUCUCACUGAGAUAUUUAUCAAGUUAAUUGUUUUUAAAAGUAA